rnacentral:lncRNA from 1 species
AAUUACUUGAGUAGAGGGGACAACAUAAGAAUCACACUUGGAUCUUAUUGAGUAGUAGCCACAAAAAUAGCAAAUGCAAUGUUGCAGCCAGUAAAAGUAAACAGAAAAUAUCAAUUAAGCAAAAGAAAGGGAAAUAUUCCAUUCUGCUACUACUAAAAAGAUAAGCUUACUCCCUCAUUUGAUACAUCACAAUAGCAUAUCCAUUUGACCAAUCAUCCUAUGUAUUGUGAAAAAGUUUAGCUCCAUCAUGUCCACCACCAAUGCUCAUUCCUACAAGGGGAAAUUCCAACCAUUAUGUAUCUCAUCUUGAGAAACAUCUGCACUACAGCUAUGCACUAAUACUACCAGUUGUAUCAGAUUAUUGGGCAUUGAUGAGAUAUUUGGAUAAACUCACAUAUGUAAUUUGAGGAAAAUAACUCAGGUUUGAUACAUCAUGACGAGUAAAUAAACAAAACCCCUACUCUCUAAGAAAGAGAAUAUUCUUGAAACAAUAAAUACUCACUAUUGCCAUAAAAAAUGAAGAAUAUGCACACUCAGACAAUUAGCUAACCUGAAGGGAGAAGUAUGCUUAAGCACGCUCCACAAUAAGAGUAUGAGAAUAGCAAAAAACAACAUUGCUAAAUUUUAUUUUAUUUUUGACAAAUGAGAUGCACAAGUGGUUUCAACUAAGGGAACUCAAAUAACGGUAGAGUAGAAUCACCUCUCCAGAGAGCAGAACUGGUUAGCUACAGUAAAAUAUAUUCUUUCCAAAUCAUAAACAUCACAUAGAACACCACCACACAAACAUCCAAAAAGAAGACUCCAUCGCUAUAUGUUGAGGAGAUCAUCCAUCAACAAAAGAACCGAUUUAUAUGGAACUAGUUACACUUGUUAUCUUAACACGAAAGGAUGUGAACAUCAUUUAAUCAACGAAUUAUAGAUAUUAUCUUGAUUUUGCUAUACCUACUACAAUGUAAAGGCAUAUGCUAUUACCUGCAGCAUAAAGACUUUCAAACAGAUGAUAACAAACCCACUUCUUGGUCUUGGAAACUUUCUUGAACUGCAGUGGCUCAAGCUGGAU